rnacentral:lncRNA from 1 species
UCCAUUUUCCAAGGCAAAGGAAAAUGCAAGAGGAAGGCAAAAUCUUAGUAUCCUUGGAAGUGCUAUUAGCCUUAGAACCUGCCUUUAAGUGUAAAAAUUAACUUGGCCUUUUGCAUGGAUGUACAUAGGGCCCUUUGAUGCAUGAUAGUGAGAUGACAGGACACUCAUAUAGCAGUGGGAAGAGCAGAAAUUUAUAAUUUGACCACCACCAAGUGAUUACAAAAGCCACCUCCAUGAUCACCACCAGCAAAAACAUAGCCAAAAAUGUGUACCUGGGCAUCUGGAAAAAGCAAAUAAAAUUACUCUUUGAUAAAACUGUAAUUUAAACAUAGAUUUCAAAUAGUCAUCCAGAGUUUUACAAUAUUUAAAGGCACAUUAGCUCAUAAUGAGAAACUGCAAAACACUAAACAGAAAAUAUACCUUGAAAUAUUAGGAAAA